UAAGUUAUCAUACAACACUAAUAAAUAGCAAAAAAAAGAAUGCCUGCCAUAUCAUACAGUCCUGUCUGUUUUAUAGUGAACCAGAUAAAGAAGUUUAUGAACAUGCAUGAUGUGCCACUGUGCAUCAGGAAACUUGGCAUUAAUAAUACCAUAGCCCAAUGGUCCUUUCUUUAUACACCCCUGCCAUAUCAUACAGCCCUGUCUGUUUUAUAGUGAAUCUGGUAAAGAAGUUUAUGAACUUGCAUGGUGUGCCACUGUGAAUGUUGGCAUGUUGAAACUUGGCAUUAUUAAUACCAUAACCCAUUGGUCCUUUCUUUAUACACCCAUGCCAUAUCGUACAGCCCUGUCUGUUCAACACAGAUUUUUCUUUCAUUUUUCUCAAUUCUUCUUAAAAAAAGCUUCCAUUUUAACUUUUAUUGAAAGGUAGGCUGUAACCUAUAUAGGAAAUGACCUCUUGGCUAUAUUUAAACAGACAUUUUUCAACUGAAAGUAGCUUGGGAAAAAAACAACAACAAAAAAACAACAGCAAAUAAUGAAUAACAAGGGAGGUCAUUCAGGACAAGUUGCAUAUCUGUUCUUACUAAGAACACAUAAUUCUAACUAAGGUUCCUGUGGCCUCAUAGCAGAUAGUUUUCUAGUGCAUUAAAAAAUUCUGUAAUUAUUAGUCCCUUACCGGUGUAUUUUCAUGUAAGCUACACACAUGUUAAGUAAAGUAUCAAUAUGUCAAUGUGUACUGAAAAUUUAUUGAGUAGAAGCUGAAAAUUUUAUUCCUUAACCUUGCUCUAAGAUAUCUAAGUAGUAAUCCCAAGCUGCAUCUUAAUAUAAGCUACGCACACAGCAAGUUUGGUGUCAAAAGGUCAAAGCAAACUCAAUUAAUUAAGUAAAAACUGAAUUUCUUUUUUUUAAGCAACAGUGACCUUGACAAGAAUCUCCCCUGGCUGCUUCUGAAUCGGUCAUAAAUCUCUUCCAGUUUAUGUGUGUAAGGUCUUAUGUCAGUGGACCAAACAAGACUUCCACUCCAAAUUGUGUUCACUUAAGAUAAAAAUGACCAGGUUCCUGGAAGAGGCACGGUGCGUUGAAGAAAGAAUAUGGGCAUGGCCAGGGUGUGACAGAAAAGGAGAUGAGAAGGGAUUUUUACCUCCAUCACCAAAGCAUAAGAAAACUAGCAUUCUCCCACGUUUGACAAUUGGUAGGAAAUUAACAUGGUAAUUGCUGGCAGGAUACGAAAACAUGAAGGUGUAAAUGAUAUGUAUACCUUGACUGUCAGAGGUUAAAAAAAGUACAGAAUGUUGUGCAAUAUCGUUACAGCUUGGAGAUUGCCUCACUAUUACCCAAGACUGAAAUGGAUUUGAAUAAACUGACUUAUAAAUCUAAUCACAUAUGAUAAAGGUGUUGAUAUAUGUCUAUUUUAAAUUUUGAAAUAAAUCAGUGGAGGAAUAAACUAGAAAUGUGUCCAUAGGACAUAGGUGCCCCCACACUCCACCGAUUUGUAAAUCUUAUGUCUCUAGGUCAAUUUUUAGUCCCCUACCGGUUUAACCGGAGGGGACUUUAGGUUUACCGUCUGUCUGUCUGUCCGUCAGUUCGUCUGUCCACAAAACUGGAUCCCACUUUAGGUUUACCCUCCGUCUGUCCGUCCGUCCGUCUGUCUGUCCGUCAGUCAGUCCGUCCGUCCACAAAACUGGAUCCCGCGAUAACACAAAAAGUACUGAAUUUUUUUUUUUAUGAAACUUGAUAUAUGGAUAGAUGGCAGUAUGGACAUUAUGCACGUCUUUUUUUUCUUCCUAUGUUGAAAAUUCUGGUUGCUAUGGCAACAAAUAGUCUGAAAAUAUGGCAAAUUUAAUGCAUAAACUGGAUCCAGUGAUGACUCAAAAAGUACUGAAAAUAUUUUUAUGAAACUUAAAAUAUGGGUAGAUGGCAGUCUGGAGAUUAUGCACAUCUUUUUCUUUUCUUCCUAUGUUGAAAAUUCUGGUUGCUAUGGCAACAAAUAGCCUGAAUUUCAAGAUUUCUAAUUUAAAUAUUUCAGCUUUUUCACUAUAAGUUCUUUAUUUCUUAAGGUGUUUACUUCAAACUUUAAAUAUAAGUUUUUGACCAUCAACCACAUCAUAUGUGACAAGGUUUACAACUCUAGCACAAAAAUUAUCAGCAUUGACUCUCUUGACCUUAGAAUUUUUAUGAAAAAAAAAUGUUGUCUUUAAAUUACUUCUUUAUUUCCUAAUGUAUCUACUUCAAACUUCAUAUAUAUGUUUCUUAUUAUCACUCAACAUUUUUGAGGAGGUUAAAUACUCUAGCAAGACUAUUUCCAGAAUUAUGUCCCCCUUGAACUUAGAUUUUUUUCGAGAAACUGGUAUUUUCACUCCAACUUCUUCAUUCCUUAUAGGAUUUACUUUAAAAUCCCGCAUCGUAAUAAUAUGACAAGGUUGUAUAAACAUAAUUUCCUUACUAGGCAUGGAAACUUAACACAUUACUGUGAUAUAGACAAACUUAGAACUCAAAAGAUUUAAGUUCAUUCA